AGGGAUUCUGGAGUCAUCCAUGGAUUCCUAGAAAGUAGUGAGCACCCUGUGCAUACGAUGAAGCCAGGUUAAUGCUACGGAUGUUGCAGGACAGGCCUUGGGGAGAGUGCAUGGGAUCAGGCGGGGACCGCCGGCACAGCUGAGACUCCUGGGCCGGCUCUCUGGCUGGGCUGGAGCGGCUCUGCCCUGCCCGUGGUUACUCUAUUGUUGCAGCGAGCCAGCACAGUAACGCGGUCCAGAAGAUGGGAGCACAUGUCCCUAAACCUGACACUAACAGUCAUGCAAUCACCCUCUCAUCAGGAAGGCUGAGGUCAGGAAUUCUUCCUGCAACCCUCCUUUCAGAGCAGGGCAGGCUGUAAUCCCAUCAGGACACUUAAGAAGUGUCCUUGCAGCUCAGGUCAGAUUUUUUAUUUUGUUUUCACUCUCUUCCUUGGGCUCAGAGACCCGGAGAAAUCAGCUGUGGUAUCUGGUGUGAGCGACAAAUAUGUUGCAUCUUUAAUUAUUGCACAUCACAGGAGCGCUUGAGGCCAGAGCAAGUGUCACUCAGCAGUCACCUGGGCAUAAUUAGACCAAUGGUGGCAUCGUAAUACAGAACCUAGUGCAGGUCUCAAAUGUCACCUACUUCCAACAUUGCAUCAAUUUGUGAUGUGAUGGAGGAAACUGUCCCAUGGUUUUAGGAGGUACGCGGUCUGAAUGUCCCACUGAAAUGGCAGCGAGUGAGCUGAGAAUUUUAAGUGAAACUGUUUUUGCUUCGACUUAAACCAACACAAACAGUUCUAUUAGGUUCAUAAAGAGGACAUGAGGAUUGUUGUGCCUUUUGGUGCCAAGAAGCCUGCAAGUACCAAGUGGAAAUCCCUGGCCUCAUCCCUCCUUCACAGCUCCUCAGAAAGGCAUCACACCGGAAUGCUCCCUCACUGUCGCUGACCAUGUGAUGUUCUUGGCCAUGGGGAUGUCAGCGCACAUGACAAGCAGUCGGGGCUGCCCUUGCCCUGGCCCUGUGCUGUGGCAAUGAGAACCCGGAGGAGCCAGAGGAGUGACCGUCACUGUUCAUCGAGGCCAUCCUGGGCCAGCCAGCACCCAGCUGACCCCGGACACAUGGGUAAGCACAGCCCAGGCCAGAACUCUCUAGACUGACGUGGGGCAUGUGAGCGUUCCCACCACAGAGCAGCCCAAAUGAGCCCAGAUCGGCUGAACCUCAUGGAACCCCGAGCUCAAUAAAUAUUAAUUUGUGUAUGACAUCCAGUUUUCUAUGGCUGUUUUUCACUGAGCAUGAUUGGUGGAUAAUUGAUCAUUGACCACUAGGUUAACUCUCACACUGUACCUGGACCUCAUCAAGGGCCAGGCCGUGAGUGCCACACAAGUGACAAAUGUUGAAAAACUCAUGAGUGAGUUUAGGUGAAAUCUCAGAGUGUGGGGACUCAACCAGCUUGCUCACCAGCCCGGUUCAGGCUUAUCAGACCCAGGUGACACUGUCCAAAAUCCUGGUUCAAGGGUGAGUCAGUCAACUUAGCGCUUGUUGGCCAUCAGAUGCACAUAGGUAGGACUUAAUAAAGCAAAGGUGGACUCUGAGCCACCCAGAAUGGAUGUGGAAAUUACCCACAUCCAUUGAGGGGAG
rnacentral:lncRNA from 1 species